GGGUUGUGAGGUUAAGCGACUAAGCGUACACGGUGGAUGCCCUGGCAGUCAGAGGCGAUGAAGGACGUGCUAAUCUGCGAUAAGCGUCGGUAAGGUGAUAUGAACCGUUAUAACCGGCGAUUUCCGAAUGGGGAAACCCAGUGUGAUUCGUCACACUAUCAUUAACUGAAUCCAUAGGUUAAUGAGGCGAACCGGGGGAACUGAAACAUCUAAGUACCCCGAGGAAAAGAAAUCAACCGAGAUUCCCCCAGUAGCGGCGAGCGAACGGGGAGCAGCCCAGAGCCUGAAUCAGUGUGUGUGUUAGUGGAAGCGUCUGGAAAGGCGCGCGAUACAGGGUGACAGCCCCGUACACAAAAAUGCACAUGCUGUGAGCUCGAUGAGUAGGGCGGGACACGUGGUAUCCUGUCUGAAUAUGGGGGGACCAUCCUCCAAGGCUAAAUACUCCUGACUGACCGAUAGUGAACCAGUACCGUGAGGAAAGGCGAAAAGAACCCCGGCGAGGGGAGUGAAAAAGAACCUGAAACCGUGUACGUACAAGCAGUGGGAGCACGCUUAGGCGUGUGACUGCGUACCUUUUGUAUAAUGGGUCAGCGACUUAUAUUCUGUAGCAAGGUUAACCGAAUAGGGAGCCGAAGGGAAACCGAGUCUUAACUGGGCGUUAAGUUGCAGGGUAUAGACCCGAAACCCGGUGAUCUAGCCAUGGGCAGGUUGAAGGUUGGGUAACACUAACUGGAGGACCGAACCGACUAAUGUUGAAAAAUUAGCGGAUGACUUGUGGCUGGGGGUGAAAGGCCAAUCAAACCGGGAGAUAGCUGGUUCUCCCCGAAAGCUAUUUAGGUAGCGCCUCGUGAAUUCAUCUCCGGGGGUAGAGCACUGUUUCGGCAAGGGGGUCAUCCCGACUUACCAACCCGAUGCAAACUGCGAAUACCGGAGAAUGUUAUCACGGGAGACACACGGCGGGUGCUAACGUCUGUCGUGAAGAGGGAAACAACCCAGACCGCCAGCUAAGGUCCCAAAGUCAUGGUUAAGUGGGAAACGAUGUGGGAAGGCCCAGACAGCCAGGAUGUUGGCUUAGAAGCAGCCAUCAUUUAAAGAAAGCGUAAUAGCUCACUGGUCGAGUCGGCCUGCGCGGAAGAUGUAACGGGGCUAAACCAUGCACCGAAGCUGCGGCAGCGACGCUUAUGCGUUGUUGGGUAGGGGAGCGUUCUGUAAGCCUGUGAAGGUGUGCUGUGAGGCAUGCUGGAGGUAUCAGAAGUGCGAAUGCUGACAUAAGUAACGAUAAAGCGGGUGAAAAGCCCGCUCGCCGGAAGACCAAGGGUUCCUGUCCAACGUUAAUCGGGGCAGGGUGAGUCGACCCCUAAGGCGAGGCCGAAAGGCGUAGUCGAUGGGAAACAGGUUAAUAUUCCUGUACUUGGUGUUACUGCGAAGGGGGGACGGAGAAGGCUAUGUUGGCCGGGCGACGGUUGUCCCGGUUUAAGCGUGUAGGCUGGUUUUCCAGGCAAAUCCGGAAAAUCAAGGCUGAGGCGUGAUGACGAGGCACUACGGUGCUGAAGCAACAAAUGCCCUGCUUCCAGGAAAAGCCUCUAAGCAUCAGGUAACAUCAAAUCGUACCCCAAACCGACACAGGUGGUCAGGUAGAGAAUACCAAGGCGCUUGAGAGAACUCGGGUGAAGGAACUAGGCAAAAUGGUGCCGUAACUUCGGGAGAAGGCACGCUGAUAUGUAGGUGAAGUCCCUCGCGGAUGGAGCUGAAAUCAGUCGAAGAUACCAGCUGGCUGCAACUGUUUAUUAAAAACACAGCACUGUGCAAACACGAAAGUGGACGUAUACGGUGUGACGCCUGCCCGGUGCCGGAAGGUUAAUUGAUGGGGUCAGCGCAAGCGAAGCUCUUGAUCGAAGCCCCGGUAAACGGCGGCCGUAACUAUAACGGUCCUAAGGUAGCGAAAUUCCUUGUCGGGUAAGUUCCGACCUGCACGAAUGGCGUAAUGAUGGCCAGGCUGUCUCCACCCGAGACUCAGUGAAAUUGAACUCGCUGUGAAGAUGCAGUGUACCCGCGGCAAGACGGAAAGACCCCGUGAACCUUUACUAUAGCUUGACACUGAACAUUGAGCCUUGAUGUGUAGGAUAGGUGGGAGGCUUAGAAGUGUGGACGCCAGUCUGCAUGGAGCCGACCUUGAAAUACCACCCUUUAAUGUUUGAUGUUCUAACGUUGACCCGUAAUCCGGGUUGCGGACAGUGUCUGGUGGGUAGUUUGACUGGGGCGGUCUCCUCCUAAAGAGUAACGGAGGAGCACGAAGGUUGGCUAAUCCUGGUCGGACAUCAGGAGGUUAGUGCAAUGGCAUAAGCCAGCUUGACUGCGAGCGUGACGGCGCGAGCAGGUGCGAAAGCAGGUCAUAGUGAUCCGGUGGUUCUGAAUGGAAGGGCCAUCGCUCAACGGAUAAAAGGUACUCCGGGGAUAACAGGCUGAUACCGCCCAAGAGUUCAUAUCGACGGCGGUGUUUGGCACCUCGAUGUCGGCUCAUCACAUCCUGGGGCUGAAGUAGGUCCCAAGGGUAUGGCUGUUCGCCAUUUAAAGUGGUACGCGAGCUGGGUUUAGAACGUCGUGAGACAGUUCGGUCCCUAUCUGCCGUGGGCGCUGGAGAACUGAGGGGGCUGCUCCUAGUACGAGAGGACCGGAGUGGACGCAUCACUGGUGUUCGGGUUGUCAUGCCAAUGGCACUGCCCGGUAGCUAAAUGCGGAAGAGAUAAGUGCUGAAAGCAUCUAAGCACGAAACUUGCCCCGAGAUGAGUUCUCCUGACUCCUUGAGAGUCCUGAAGGAACGUUGAAGACGACGACGUUGAUAGGCCGGGUGUGUAAGCGCAGCGAUGCGUUGAGCUAACCGGUACUAAUGAACCGUGAGGCUUAACCUUACAACGCCGAAGCUGUU
rnacentral:rRNA from 1 species